UGCGCGGGCGAUUUAUUAAAUAAUUUAUACGUAGAUUUAACCUCAAAUGAUUAUUGAAAGUAACAUCCAUGGUUGAAAUAUAUUGUAUAUUUCACCAUGGUAACACCUAAAUAUUUAAUAGGUAUACUUUGUAUUCUUAGAAUUGUAUGACUAAUAUUUAAGUUAUUACAUAUAUUUUCAUCGUUUUCAAAAAAGAGAAUUGUUAAUUCGUUUAAAGGAAUAUUUGCACUAUUAAUAAUGAAAGUCAAAUAAAAAGUCUUAAAUAUUCAGUGACAAUUGCAUGUAUGUAAAAUGUAUAAUACUACAUAUGCAUUUUUUGUGGCUCCAGUCGGACGCUAGCCACACUUUGACCACGUCCUGCGCAUUGACGCACAGCAAGUUCAAGUCAACGUCGACGUGCGCGCGAUACUCCCGGGCCAUCGUGGCCUUCCAGGACGCGAUGCCGUCCUUUUGCUCGAUCGUCAUCAGUGUCCUCCUGGACGACUGUAUCGUGUCCAACAAGUGCUUGUACGCCGCUUCCAGCAUCUUUUCCUCGUCCUUGGUCAUGGACUUCCCGCACACGGCCAACUUACACAUGUAAUGAACCACGUCCGAGGACCGGUUCACCUCCUGAGCCAUCUUCACCUUCCACAACCUGCUUUCCUUCGAUUUUAUUGCUAUGCCAUCGAGCACUUUUUCCACGUACAAUUUUCUCCUCAGGGCACAUUCGGCGGCGUUGUACUGCAUUAAUGUUUGCCAAGUCUAGGAAGUUAGAGGCAUUUCGUCAACAAAACAUUUGAGGACUUACAACUUAACAGUUCACAACUCUUUUACUUUAAAUGCUGCAUGCUGUGUUUUAUGGUAUAUUGGUAUGAAGUUAACUAUUGCUAAAAGAGUGUUAAUCAAACAAAUAAAUACGUGUAUUUAUCAAUUUUCAACCAAUUUAUCAGAAGAAGUAUCGCAUUGAUAUUGCAUAUUAUACUGCAUUAUAGUGAUUGCUGCGCUGGACAGAAUAAAAAUGAUAUUAUCGUGGUUUAUGGGCUAUGUCACCUAUGUAGCUUAAUAUGUAUAAUUAUAUUUUCU